rnacentral:rRNA from 1 species
AGAGCGAACGCUGGCGGCAGGCCUAACACAUGCAAGUCGAACGGAUCCUUCGGGAUUAGUGGCGGACGGGUGAGUAACACGUGGGAACGUGCCUUUUGGUUCGGAACAACUCAGGGAAACUUGAGCUAAUACCGGAUGUGCCCUUCGGGGGAAAGAUUUAUCGCCAUUAGAGCGGCCCGCGUCUGAUUAGCUAGUUGGUAGGUAAAGGCCUACAAGGCUACGAUCAGUAGCUGGUCUGAGAGGAUGAUCAGCCACAUUGGGACUGAGACACGGCCCAAACUCCUACGGGAGGCAGCAGUGGGAAU